CGAAUGCUGACAUAAGUAACGAUAAAGCGGGUGAAAAGCCCGCUCGCCGGAAGACCAAGGGUUCCUGUCCAACGUUAAUCGGGGCAGGGUGAGUCGACCCCUAAGGCGAGGCCGAAAGGCGUAGUCGAUGGGAAACAGGUUAAUAUUCCUGUACUUGGUGUUACUGCGAAGGGGGGACGGAGAAGGCUAUGUUGGCCGGGCGACGGUUGUCCCGGUUUAAGCGUGUAGGCUGGUUUUCCAGGCAAAUCCGGAAAAUCAAGGCUGAGGCGUGAUGACGAGGCACUACGGUGCUGAAGCAACAAAUGCCCUGCUUCCAGGAAAAGCCUCUAAGCAUCAGGUAACAUCAAAUCGUACCCCAAACCGACACAGGUGGUCAGGUAGAGAAUACCAAGGCGCUUGAGAGAACUCGGGUGAAGGAACUAGGCAAAAUGGUGCCGUAACUUCGGGAGAAGGCACGCUGAUAUGUAGGUGAAGCGACUUGCUCGUGGAGCUGAAAUCAGUCGAAGAUACCAGCUGG
rnacentral:rRNA from 1 species